ensembl:lncRNA
UCUCAGUUAGCACGUUAUUCUGGUCAUGGUCACGGUGAAGCUGGAGUCUGUCCUGGCAACACUGGGUGGGAAUACACCAUGGAUAGGAUGCCAGUCCAUCGCAGGGCACCAUGCACACAUUCAUUAACACCUAGAUACAAUGUAUGUUGCCCAAUCUAUGUACUGGCAUGGUUUUGGGAGGUGGGAGGAAACCAGAGAGCCCAGAGGAAACCCUUAUGGACCCACAUGGGGAGAACAUGCACAGAAACUCCACACAGACAGUAACCUGAGCUCAGGAUUGAUCUGGGGACCCUGGAGCUAUGAAGCAGCAACACUACCCACUGUGCCACCAUGCCGCCCUUGACGACUGGAUGCGAAGCAAAAAAUGCAGCAAAGCAAAGAAUGCAGUCUGCUUUGUCAGUGCUACGUCAGAGACAUGAACUGCACAUGGGUAAUUUUCAUAACUUGAAUUGGCUACCCAGAAAUGCAAGUUAUGCAUCCAUGUAAGACAAAUCUGAAUACUGUGUCCACAUCCUUUUGUCCAUAUAGUGUGUAUGCUCACUGCAAGGGGUGAAAUAAAUGAAUUGAUGGACUUUAUUGAUCUUUGAGAGGAGGUGCUGUUAAACCUGUCUGAGGCAUAAAACUUAAAAGAAAUUUGACACUUAGGACUCUCUCCUUGUUUCUUUUAAUAUUUAAUAGUUAAUUUUUUCAUUUUUAAAUAAUAUCUGAAAAUAAUAUAUAUAAUUUUAUAUGUUGUCAUUUUAAAAUGUGGCAUAAAUUGAAAAAUGUCUAAAACGCUUUUCAGACACUUCAUAAAGUUACAGGGUCAUUUGGGCUGUCCCAAAAAAUGGAAAUGACAGUUUUGUUAGACUUAUGAUUAAAAGUAGAAAUGGGAUCUUAACUGGUUGAAUGUGAUUAUUUUCCCCUUUAAAUUUGUAAAUAUUGUGAAAAUUCAAAUAGUAUUUGAACUAGAGAUGCACCGAUGAUAGUUUAAACACAUCCAAUGAUCAGGGCUGAUUAUAUCCUGUCAAUCCAAAGAGGGCGGGAAAGCAUAUCGAUUUCGUGCAGUGUGUAAAGAUGAUGUCUCUUGUGUGGAAUGAUGAUAAAGCUGCUAUUUGUAAUGUCUGUAAGCUCUGCACUGCUAAAAUUUUACACCGGACGCUGCAGCGGUGAAACAGGAGUUUCAGCAUCGGGUCUGUUUUUUUUUUUUUUUUUGCUCCGCUGCUCGAGCUGCUUGAGCUGAAUUAAAGGGCCAGUACACCACUGAAAGAUUUAAAUGAAGAUGAAUUGACAAAAAAAGUAUAUAUUGUACAGAGAAAUUGCUUUAAUCUUCAGAAUUUAGUUCAUGUGUUAAUGUUGAUUAGAGUGGUUUCUGUUUAUGAGACCACUUACUGUGAAACAACUUGUUGAAAUGGAGAGAAUAAAGUUUUUAUUUGCGUUUCUUUCAGAAUUGUGGAAUGAAUUAUUAUUAAUUUAAAAGAAGGUAUAAAGGGAAGAAGUAUCGGUAUCGGCCGAUAUCACUGAAGAAUCGCUUAUCUGUAUCGGCUGAGAAAUUUAGUAUCGUGCAUCUCUAAUUUGAACAGUGACAUUUCUUUUGCUGGCCCUUCACUGCAGACU